rnacentral:rRNA from 1 species
UACGGGAGGCAGCAGUGGGGAAUAUUGGACAAUGGGCGAAAGCCUGAUCCAGCCAUGCCGCAUGAGUGAAGAAGGCCUUCGGGUUGUAAAGCUCUUUUAGUGAGAAAGAUAAUGACGGUACUCACAGAAGAAGUCCUGGCUAACUCCGUGCCAGCAGCCGCGGUAAUACGGAGAGGGCUAGCGUUAUUCGGAAUUAUUGGGCGUAAAGAGCGCGUAGGCUGAUUAGUAAGUUAAAAGUGAAAUCCCAAAGCUUAACUUUGGAAUUGCUUUUUAAAACUGCUAGUCUAGAGAUUUGAAAGAGGAUAGAGGAAUUCCUAGUGUAGAGGUGAAAUUCGUAAAUAUUAGGAGGAACACCAGUGGCGAAGGCGUCUAUCUGGUUCAAAUCUGACGCUGAGGCGCGAAGGGCGUGGGGAGCGAAACAGGGAUUAGGAUA